UACGUAGGGCGCAAGCGUUGUCCGGAAUUAUUGGGCGUAAAGAGCUCGUAGGUGGUUUGUUGCGUCUGACGUGAAAUCCCUCGGCUUAACCGGGGAACUGCAUCUGAUACUGGAUGGCUUGAGUUCGGGAGAGGGAUGCGGAAUUCCAGGUGUAGCGGUGAAAUGCGUAGAUAUCCGGAGGAACACCGGUGGCGAAGGCGGCUUCCUGGACCGACACUGACGCUGAGGCGCGAAAGCUAGGGGAGCAAACGGG
rnacentral:rRNA from 1 species